rnacentral:rRNA from 1 species
AUACGUAGGGGGCAAGCGUUAUCCGGAUUUACUGGGUGUAAAGGGAGCGUAGACGGCAAAGCAAGUCUGAAGUGAAAGCCCCGGGCUCAACCCGGGAAUUGCUUUGGAAACUGUUUAGCUGGAGUGCAGGAGAGGUAAGCGGAAUUCCUAGUGUAGCGGUGAAAUGCGUAGAUAUUAGGAGGAACACCGGCGGCGAAGGCGGCUUACUGGACUGUAACUGACGUUGAGGCUCGAAAGCGUGGGGAGCAAACAGGAUUAGAUACCCUGGUAGUCCACGCCGUAAACGAUGAUUACUAGGUGUUGGUUGUCAUAGACAAUCGGUGCCGCAGCAAACGCAAUAAGUAAUCCACCUGGGGAGUACGUUCGCAAGAAUGAAACUCAAAUGAAUUGACGGGG